UUUUUGAAACACAGCGGUACUGUGUGCUUGAAAAACUGAAGUUUUUGAAACACACUGUACCGUUGUGUUUCAAAAACU
rnacentral:pre_miRNA from 1 species